UACGGGGGGAGCAAGCGUUGUUCGGAUUUACUGGGCGUAAAGGGCGCGUAGGCGGUCGUGACAAGUCACUUGUGAAAUCUCCGGGCUUAACUCGGAACGGUCAAGUGAUACUGUCGGACUAGAGUACAGAAGGGGCAACUGGAAUUCUCGGUGUAGCGGUGAAAUGCGUAGAUAUCGAGAGGAACACCAGUGGCGAAGGCGAGUCUCUGGACGACUCCUGACACUGAGGCACGAAAGCUAGGGGAGCAAACAGG
rnacentral:rRNA from 1 species